rnacentral:tRNA from 1 species
GACUGAGUAGUUGAAGAACAAUGUUUAAUUGCAGAUUAAGAGGUGUAGAGUUACUUUGGUUU